rnacentral:lncRNA from 1 species
CCAGAGUUGGGGGUACUCCGACAAGACCCUCUGAUGCUCAAGUCAGUACUCUGCUUCAACAGAAAUGGAGCACUCAAAUAAGAUAUUAGCAGAGUUUAGAGAUAGUGUUUAGAGCUUAGAGGAGAACGUAUCUGGGGGGUCUCUUUUAUAGAUGGGAGAGCGUAAUCGAUUGAUAGUGACGUCUGUAACUGCCUGGUAGUAGGCCAUUCAGGGCCACGUGGAGUUUGUUACGGAGAGUAGAGUGGCGUAUGUUGUCAUGACUUAUCGAAGAGUGGUGGGGCCAUGUGGAGUUUGUUAUAGAGAGUGGAGUGGUGUCCGUUGUCGUGACUUGCCGGGGAGUUCAGGCCGGACGGCUGAAGCUCGGUUGGGACGUCUGGUGGAGCGGAAUAGCUCUCUGUCUCAGCAAUUUAAGAGAAGCUUGGAUGUUUUCGAGGUUACUGAUGGGUUAAAUGUUGUUGGAUG